GACGAACGCUGGCGGCAGGCCUAACACAUGCAAGUCGAGCGAGCGGCGGACGGGUGAGUAAUGUAUGGGGACUGCCCGAUAGAGGGGGAUAACUACUGGAAACGGUGGCUAAUACCGCAUACUAUCGGAUAACCCAUAUGGGAUUAGCUAGUAGGGGGGGUAAAGGCUCACCUAGGCGACGAUCUCUAGCUGGUCUGAGAGGAUGAUCAUCCCGCCGGGGACUGAGACACGGCCCAGACUCCUACGGAGGCAGCAGUGGUGAAUAUUGCACAAUGGGCGCAAGCCUGAGGCAGCCAUGCCGCGUGUAUGAAGAAGGCCUUAGGGUUGUAAAGUACUUUCAGCGGGGAGGCGUUACCCGCAGAAGAAGCCCCGGCUAACUCCGUGCCAGCAGCCGCGGUAAUUC
rnacentral:rRNA from 1 species